rnacentral:rRNA from 1 species
UAUUGGGCAAUGGGCGAAAGCCUUACCCAGCAACGCCGCGUGAGGGAAGAAGGUCNUCNNAUCGUNANCCUCUGUCUUUGGGGNNNNNGAAAGUGACGGUACCCAAGGAGGAAGCUCCGGCUAACUACGUGCCAGCAGCCGCGGUAAUACGUAGGGAGCGAGCGUUGGCCGGAAUGACUGGGCGUAAAGGGCGCGUAGGCGGGCUAUUAAGUCUGGAGUGAAAGCCCCGCUUUAAAGGUGGGAAUUGCUUUGGAAACUGAUAGGGUCGAGUGCGGGAGAGGAAAGUGGAAUUCCCAGUGUAGCGGUGAAAUGCGUAGAGAUUGGGAGGAACACCAGUGGCGAAGGCGACUUUCUGGACCGUAACUGACGCUGAGGCGCGAAAGCGUGGGGAGCAAACA